GUUUUUUUGGACACACUCAUGGAAUUUUUUUUCUGUAGCUACAGAAAGCCUUCACUUAUCCCAUUUUCCAGCAAGAUGAGGCCUUGCCUCACUUUCACCAUUCAGUCCAGAGGUUUCUAAUGAACACAUUUUUAAAUACAGAUUGGACACUAUUCAAAAGACUGACCUGCCUUCGAAACAGUGGCUUCCAGAUCUCCCAGAUAUGUGACUGUUUAUGAAGACAAAAGUUGUGUCCCAGUGAAGACAUUUUAUGCAGCUACCAAGUACUAUAUGCUGGAGGCUAAGUAUAAAAACUCUCAUUCUCUAAUCUUGAGGAGCUAAUGAUCUUGUAUCUGGGCAUGGGUGAGUGACUAAAAGAAUGAACGAAAUUCUGAAAAAUUGAGUAAUGAAGUGUAUACAUCAUGGACCCGAAGAAAGCACUAGUUUAAUCUCCUUGAUAGGAUUGAGAAAGUUUUCAUAUAUAAGGUAGAAUUUUAGCUGGAGUUUGGAAGAUUGGUCAAAUUUAGUAAAAAAAGAAGAGGUAAAUGGUUGUAAUUUAAUAAAAUAGGAUGAGCUAGAUUUGUCUGUUGUUUUGGUAUGCAUAGAUACAGUUUAAAAUCGCAUGAAAACCAUGCUGAUAUAAUGAAACUUUUUCUGUAGGCAAUGUAAGAUUAUGUAGAAACAUUUAUUAGCUUUCUCAUUCAAUGCUAACAGGCUAGGGGUGACAGAGGAAAAGACAAACCAAAAGAGACAAAGGGGAUUGUUAUUCUCAAAGCAAAGUUCUUGUAAUUGUAAUUUUUGUACUUCUAACAAUGUUUUCAUGUCCUCUAAAUUAAGAAACCUAAUAUGUUGUACAACUGCUACAAAUUGUGUUCAUUAGGAAAACCUACAAUUCAUUGUGGUUUAAUGUGUUUUGUUUUAUAAUUGUUGCUAAAAUAACUUUUUAUAUAUAAAAGAAACUUUUUUAUAUUAAGAAAUAUCUGUCUAGUCAUAUUAGGAAGAAUAACAAAAUGGAAGAUAGAUUUUGGUUCAGGAAAACUGGGCACACUUGGGUUUCACUCUGAACUAUUACUUCUACUUGCCAUGUGACCAUGUUCAAAUUAUUUAGGCAUUUUAAGUCUUCUUUUUCUCAAGUCCA
rnacentral:lncRNA from 10 species